GGGCCGUUAGCUCAGCUGGCAGAGCAGGGGACUUUUAAUCCCAAGGUCGCUGGUUCGAGACCAGCACGGCCCACCA
rnacentral:tRNA from 1 species